GGGCGUUUAGCUCAGCUGGUUCAGAGCAUCUGCCUUACAAGCAGAGGGUCGGCGGUUCGAAUCCGUCAA
rnacentral:tRNA from 3 species